rfam:Oryza sativa (indica cultivar-group) chromosome 1, whole genome shotgun sequence.
AAAAAGACAAACCCUAGGUUUUCGUGUCCAACUUUAACUGUCCGUCUUAUAAGAAUUUUUUUUAUAAUUCGUAUUUUCAUUGUUGUUAGAUGAUAAAACAUGAUUAAUAUUUUAUGUGUGACUUGUCUUUUUAAUUGUUUUUAUAUUUUUUUUAAAUAAGACGGACGGUCAAACGUUAGACACGGAAAUCAGGGUUUGUGUUUGUU